rnacentral:rRNA from 1 species
AAAGGAAUUGACGGGGGCCCGCACAAGCAGUGGAGUAUGUGGUUUAAUUCGAAGCAACGCGAAGAACCUUACCAAGGCUUGACAUCCCUCGAGCAGUGUGGAAACGCACUGGUCCUUCGGGACGGGGAGACAGGUGGUGCAUGGUUGUCGUCAGCUCGUGUCGUGAGAUGUUGGGUUAAGUCCCGCAACGAGCGCAACCCUUGCUGUUAGUUGCCAUCAUUUAGUUGGGCACUCUAACGGGACUGCCGGCGAUAAGUCGGAGGAAGGUGGGGAUGACGUCAAAUCAUCAUGCCCUUUAUGUCUUGGGCUACACACGUACUACAAUGGCUGUUACAGAGGGCAGCGAGGCUGCAAGGCCAAGCGAAUCCCAAAAAACAGUCCCAGUUCAGAUUGUGGGCUGCAACCCGCCCACAUGAAGUCGGAAUUGCUAGUAAUGGCAGGUCAGCAUACUGCCGUGAAUACGUUCCCGGGCCUUGUACACACCGCCCGU